CCUGGAUCUCUGAACUCCACUUCACUCAACAUUAUGUCAUCUUAUACUCUGAGAAACAUCUUGGGACAUUUGUACCUGGAUUUCCUUCAGGCUUGAUGUUUGGUAUUCCUUAUAGACCUCCACACCAUAAUUACAGGUGAUUUUAACCAGAAAUGCCGCCCAUUAGCUCUGUCAAGAGGAACAAUAUUCAACAUGCCACCACACUGG